rnacentral:lncRNA from 10 species
UAAAAUCUAAGGAGCACUGAUAAGGGUCAGGUUGAAUUGUUAGCUUUGUUAAGUGUGAUUGUGUAGCAUGCCAAAAUACACUUAGAAUAUAUUUAUUCUUUUUUUUUUAUUUUUUCAUAGAGAUGGGGGGUUUUACUAUGUUGACUAGGCUGAUCUCAAACUCCUGCUUUCAAGUAAUCCUCCGAUCUCGGCCUCCCAAAGUGCUGGGAUUAUAGGUGUGAGCCAUGGCAUCAGGCCUCAAAUGAAUAUAUAUACAUAUACAUACACACACACACACAUUUCCCUCUUUUUUUUUAAUUUUACUUUAAGUUCUGGGAUACAUGUGCAGAAAGUGCAGGUUUGUUACACAGGUAUACAUGUGCCAUGGUGGUUUGCUGUACCUAUCAACCCCCAUGGUGGUUUGCUGCACCUAUCAACCUGUCAUCUAAG